AUGCAGGUCCACCGGUCACCUCUUGCGCACUGUUCUCAUGGAGAGACGCAGCCUUCUUCAGUAAACACAUUCUUCAACCGUGCGUCCUUGCCGUGGGUGAUAACCACCCCUCCGUCUGCAGGACUGUUAAGAAUGAAACUCGGUGCAGACGGUGUUCUUCUUGGUUAUAAGGUGUCCAUGUCGUGCAUGCAUUUAGUGUUAUUCAGAGCUGUGUUUUUUUGCUUUCGGGCUGCAUGCAAAGCAAUCUUGUUUUAUUUUCUUACCUUGUUAUAUGAAAUGGCAUGUUAUUCUGAAAACAUGGUGCUUGCUUUGAAUCUGAAUCAGGGACCCUGA
rnacentral:rRNA from 1 species